rnacentral:rRNA from 1 species
UUGGAGGGCAGUCUGGUGCCAGCAGCCGCGGUAAUUCCAGCUCCAAUAGCGUAUAUUAAAGUUGUUGCAGUUAAAAAGCUCGUAGUUGAAUUCCGGGAUUCAUCCGUUGGUCGGGCUUCACGGUCCGUACUGGUGUGAUGGGUUCCUACCUUCUGAAUAACCGGCAUGCCAUUAAUUUGGUGCGCCGGGGAAGCAGAACUAUUACCUUGAAAAAAUUAGAGUGCUUAAAGCAGGCAAGUGCCUGAAUAGGUUAGCAUGGAAUAAUAAAAUAGGACGGCAUGGUUCUAUUUUGUUGGUUUCUAGGAUCACCGUAAUGAUUAAUAGGGAUAGUUGGGGGCAUUAGUAUUCAAUUGUCAGAGGUGAAAUUCUUGGAUUUAUUGAAGACUAACUUCUGCGAAAGCAUUUGCCAAGGAUGUUUUCAUUAAUCAAGAACGAAAGUUAGGGGAUCGAAGACGAUCAGAUACCGUCGUAGUCUUAACCAUAAACUAUGCCGACUAGGGAUCGGACGAUGUUAAUUUUUUAAUGACUCGUUCGGCGCCUUACGGGAAAC